UGGGGAAUUUUCCGCAAUGGGCGAAAGCCUGACGGAGCAAUACCGCGUGAGGGAUGAAUGCCUAUGGGUUGUAAACCUCUUUUUUCAGGGAGGAAGAAAUGACGUGUACCUGAAGAAUAAGCAUCGGCUAACUCCGUGCCAGCAGCCGCGGUAAGACGGAGGAUGCAAGUGUUAUCCGGAAUCACUGGGCGUAAAGCGUCUGUAGGUGGUUUGAUAAGUCAACUGUUAAAUCUUGAGGCUCAACCUCAAAACCGCAGUCGAAACUAUUAGACUAGAGUAUAGUAGGGGUAAAGGGAAUUUCCAGUGGAGCGGUGAAAUGCGUAGAGAUUGGAAAGAACACCGAUGGCGAAGGCACUUUACUGGGCUAUUACUAACACUGAGAGACGAAAGCUAGGGUAGCAAAUGGGAUUAGAUACCCCCGUAGUCC
rnacentral:rRNA from 1 species